GGCAGCAGUAGGGAAUCUUCCACAAUGGACGAAAGUCUGAUGGAGCAACGCCGCGUGAGUGAAGAAGGGUUUCGGCUCGUAAAACUCUGUUGUUGAAGAAGAACACACUUGAGAGUAACUGUUCAGGUGUUGACGGUAUUUAACCAGAAAGCCACGGCUAACUACGUGCCAGCAGCCGCGGUAAUACGUAGGUGGCAAGCGUUGUCCGGAUUUAUUGGGCGUAAAGCGAGCGCAGGCGGUUUCUUAAGUCUGAUGUGAAAGCCUUCGGCUUAACCGGAGAAGUGCAUCGGAAACUGGGAGACUUGAGUGCAGAAGAGGACAGUGGAACUCCAUGUGUAGCGGUGAAAUGCGUAGAUAUAUGGAAGAACACCAGUGGCGAAGGCGGCUGUCUGGUCUGUAACUGACGCUGAGGCUCGAAAGCAUGGGUAGCGAACAGGAUUAGAUACCCUGGUAGUCCAUGCCGUAAACGAUGAAUACUAGGUGUUGGAGGGUUUCCGCCCUUCAGUGCCGCAGCUAACGCAUUAAGUAUUCCGCCUGGGGAGUACGACCGCAAGGUUGAAACUCAAAGGAAUUGACGGGGGCCCGCACAAGCGGUGGAGCAUGUGGUUUAAUUCGAAGCUACGCGAAGAACCUUACCAGGUCUUGACAUACUGUGCUAACCUAAGAGAUUAGGCGUUCCCUUCGGGGACGCAGAUACAGGUGGUGCAUGGCUGUCGUCAGCUCGUGUCGUGAGAUGUUGGGUUAAGUCCCGCAACGAGCGCAACCCUUAUUGUCAGUUGCCAGCAUUUAGUUGGGCACUCUGGCGAGACUGCCGGUGACAAACCGGAGGAAGGUGGGGAUGACGUCAAGUCAUCAUGCCCCUUAUGACCUGGGCUACACACGUGCUACAAUGGAUGGUACAACGAGUCGCAAACCCGCGAGGGCAAGCUAAUCUCUUAAAGCCAUUCUCAGUUCGGACUGCAGGCUGCAACUCGCCUGCACGAAGUCGGAAUCGCUAGUAAUCGCGGAUCAGCAUGCCGCGGUGAAUACGUUCCCGGGCCUUGUACACACCGCCCGUCACACCAUGAGAGUUU
rnacentral:rRNA from 1 species